AUAUGUGCCAUUAGGAUUGAAUAUGAGAUUUAAUUGUGUGAUUGGAUUAAAUUUGGAUUGAUCUAAAGCUGUUUGGGUGCCAUAUGUGUGGCGGCAUGUAUGUUGAGGUGCAUCAUGGGUGGCGGUAUGAAUGUGAUUCACACCCUAAGGGUGCGAUUUGUUUUGGGCUUGGGUUUUUGGAUUUCUUUAUGCAAUUGUUGUAUAUCUUAAGACUCAUAAUUAGGCCCAUACUUAAUUAAAUUAUUUAAUUAUAAAUUUUAAUCACACAAUUAAUUAUUGAAAAAUAUUUUCAAGGUAUUAAAUUUGGAAAGGGUUUCUAAAUUUAAGUUGAUUUGAAUGAGAUUCAAAUUUGAAUUUUUUUGUUGAAUAUAUGAUAUUCAAUUUAAUUUUUUAGUAUG
rnacentral:misc_RNA from 1 species